UACGUCUUCCCUUGUGGCUGGUGUACAGGUGGUGCAUGGUUGUCGUCAGCUCGUGUCGUGAGAUGUUGGGUUAAGUCCCGCAACGAGCGCAACCCUUGUCUUAUGUUGCCAGCACGUGAUGGUGGGGACUCAUGAGAGACUGCCGGGGUCAACUCGGAGGAAGAAUGUGGGGAUGACGUCAAAUCAUCAUGCCCCUUAUGUCCAGGGCUUCACACAUGCUAC
rnacentral:rRNA from 1 species